GGCUGUGAGAGUCAUCUGGCUGCAACGUGUGUCUCUCCACUGACUGCCAGGACUGACUCAGCUGAUCUGGCUGCCUACGCAGGUCUCUCCCUUCCUCCAUCACCUCUCCAGGUGUGUCCCUCCCAAAGCUGUGCACUCAACCAAAGAGCAAGACCUCCCUCUCUAGCGGAGGACUAUUCUUUGAUCAAGAGUAUACACGGAGGUGCGCUCCCCUGCUAAAAUCUCCAAACAAGCUCUCAAGGCACAUUCAUUUUAUAUUUACAGGCUGAGGAGUGAUGAAAAGAAGUCUAUGUUUUCUUUAAUCAAACUUUUAUAUUCCUAUGAGGCAGAAAACUUU
rnacentral:snRNA from 1 species